AGAGUUUGAUCCUGGCUCAGAACGAACGCUGGCGGCAGGCCUAACACAUGCAAGUCGAACGAGAAGCCAGAGCUUGCUCUGGUGGAAAGUGGCAGACGGGUGAGUAACGCGUGGGAAUCUACCUAGUGGUACGGAAUAACUCAGGGAAACUUGUGCUAAUACCGUAUGUGCCCUUCGGGGGAAAGAUUUAUCGCCACUGGAUGAGCCCGCGUUAGAUUAGCUUGUUGGUGAGGUAAAAGCUCACCAAGGCUACGAUCUAUAGCUGGUCUGAGAGGAUGAUCAGCCACACUGGGACUGAGACACGGCCCAGACUCCUACGGGAGGCAGCAGUGGGGAAUAUUGCACAAUGGGCGCAAGCCUGAUGCAGCCAUGCCGCGUGAGUGAUGAAGGCCCUAGGGUUGUAAAGCUCUUUCAUCGGUGAAGAUAAUGACGGUAGCCGAAGAAGAAGCCCCGGCUAACUCCGUGCCAGCAGCCGCGGUAAUACGGAGGGGGCUAGCGUUGUUCGGAAUUACUGGGCGUAAAGCGCGCGUAGGCGGAUUGGUCAGUUGGGGGUGAAAUCCCGGGGCUUAACCUCGGAACUGCCCUCAAUACUGCCA
rnacentral:rRNA from 1 species